AUUUUCAUCAUUCCAUUACUAAUGGUGUAAGAGAGUUUAUAAAAUUAGUAUUCUUCAAAUUCAUAUACAGAAAUAAUAAACAUAACAGAGGUUAAUUGUUAUUACAUACAUCAAUAGUAGAUCUCUACAUCACAAGUAUAAAUCAAUUCUUAUUUAUAUCAUUAAAUUAUUUCAUUAACUCAUUCAUCUGUUAGGUAUUUUUGUUCGUACUGAAAAAUAUUUUAAUGUAUUUUUGACUGCUCAAAAAGACUAUUUUUCUUAGUCAUAAUAGUUCGAUCAAAAAUCAAACUAAAAAGAAAGAUUUGUUGAUGUGUGAAUUUGUAUAGGUUAUCUCUAGAGUUGUCCCAGUUAUCUAUGAGCUAGAAUAUGAUUAUUUUUGAUGUGUGAAUUUGUAUAGGUUAUCUCUAGCGUUUUGAAACUGGAUUACGAGGAGAAAGAUUUGUUGAGGCGGAUUGUAGAUGGUGAUCAUGUUGAUGAUGGGAUAGGGUUUGUUGAUCCGGUUGUCGAUAGCUGGAGAAACCGUUUGAUCAAAGAGAGGAAGAGAAUCUUCUGGAAGGAUAUGUUUGAAGCGGAUGUCCGGGCCCGAAGCGGCGACGAGCAAAUGGAGGAAGAGAAUGUUCUGAGACAUGUUCCGGAUGUUCCAGGCAGCAGUAGCUCUUGCUCUUUGAAGGAAGCUAUUGAUGAAGGCUUUAAGAGAGUGAUGGCGAUGUUGGCGGAACACAAUGAAAGGCUUGUAACCAUUGAAAGGAGACAAGCCGGUGAGAGUGUGCCUCCAUUUGAGAAGAAGGUCCAUUCCGAUGUGAAUAAGGAGAAGGAAGAUGGUGGUAAGAAUGAGAAGAACGUGAAUGUGGCUAUUGAGACUGAGGCUAGUGUUGAGCCCGAGGCUAAUGAGACCCAUGAUGUUGAGCCUGAGGCUGUUGAGACCGAUGGUGUUGAGACCGAUGGUGUUGAGAUCGGUGGUGUUGAGACCCAUGAUGUUGAGACCGAUGGUGUUGAGCCUGAGGGUUUUGUGCCCGAGUUUGUUGAGCCCGAUGAUCCGAGUUCUGCCAUGGUUCUUUAUGUUCCGGAUGUUCCAAUCGGUAUGGUUUGUUUUGUCAAUCUUUGAUCUUUUUAAUAUAUGAUGUUUGUUGGUUAUAAAUGGUUGUCUUUUCUUUUGAAGGUGAUGUUCAAGUUGAAAGGGAAACUGAAGCGGAUAAAGGCGAUGAUGAGACGCCGAAGAAGGAAACGAAGAAGAAAGGGAGGAAGGGAAAGGGAAAGUGCAACGAUAAGAAGAAUGAGAAGAAGAAAAGAGACGAGGAUCCUGAGGACGAGGAUGAAGGUGGCAAAAAGAAGCGUAAGAUAAAUCCAUCGAGAUUCCACAAGCCACCUUAUACCGCGGAGAGAAUGAGAGGGACCAAGGGUCCGGUUUACGUUUGGAGAAAAAUGUAUUGAAGACUUGUGUUUUUGUGGGAACGAUUUACUUAUGUAUUUCGGAUGUAUUGAAGACUUGUGUUUUUGUUAUUUAGGAUGAUUGAUCAUGUUGUUUUGGGAUUUAUGUUACUUAUGUAUUUACGAUGGUUGAUCUUGUUUUUAUGGUAUUUAUGGUAUUUAGGAUGAUGUUCAAAACAAAAGGUACACGUAGUUUAUAGUGAGGUACAACUCAAUUCCAAAAGAGGUACAACUAACAAAUCAAAACAAGUACAAAUGAGUUCAAAACAAGUACAAGUGAGUUCAAAACAGAGGUACAAGUAGUUUAUAGAGAGGUACAACUCAAUUCCGAAAGAGGUACAAGUAGUUUAUAGAGAGGUACAACUCAAUUCCGAAAGAGGUACAAGUAGUUUAUAGAGAGGUACAACUCAAUUCCGAAAGAGGUACAAAUUACUUCAAAACAAGUUAAAAAGGUACAAAUGACUCUAGAAAUAGGAAUUCAACAUAGUUUCAAACUUUAACAUACUUGUUGCAACAUAAAAAGGAAAUACAAUCACAAAGUCAAUUAAAUCAUUUUACUUCUUUCCAAGUGCAUCCAUAAGCCUUGUGAUCUCUGCAUCUUUCUUGUCCAAGCGGUCUUUGAGGUCCUCAAUUUCAGCACGGAUUUGGUUAAUCUGGAGACGAUUACUAUCACCUCCAAAUUUGAAUGCGUUUUGAAUCAAUUCCCUGUGCUCGCCAAAUCGUUUGUCGAUGCAAAAGCACUGCUCGUGAACUGCAAGAUCCCAACCCUUGUCUACGUGAUAAUUAUCAUCUUGACCACUCAUCAGACAUUUGAGAAAUGUCUUCUUUUAAUCGCCAAUAAGACGCUCUACAAGGUCAAGCUGUUUACCACAAAAACAGAUUUGGGGAACACCAAAAUCACCAUCGUACUUGGAAGGAUCAUCGGAUCGUUCCUCUGAUGAAGAAGGUGACAAAUAACUAAGUGGCAUUAUUUGCUACAUAGCCAAACACAUGAAAAUCAAAAGGGGAUAAAUUCCAAAAUAUAAAUCCUAACAUCCAAACCCUAGAUCUUUAAGAAAAUUCAAAAUCCAACCCCUAGAUAUCAAAUUAUCAUAAACGGCAACUCUAAUUCCUUUGCAAACCAUAAUUCAAUAGAAUUGGGAGAAAAUCAAAACCCUAAUUUAUUUUCUAUCCAACCCGAAACUUACCAAUUAACUUGGACAAGGCGGCUGAUGCGAAAGAUUCGGCGUCGGCGGAGGUUCGUUGUGUUGUUUGUCGGCGGAGGUUCGUCGUCAAAGAAGAGAGAAGGAGAGAAGAAAACUUUUCGAGAGAAGAAAGGAGAAGAAGGAAAUAAAGAAAGAGAGAGAAAAAUUUGUAAUUUAAUGAGAUGAGAAAGAUUUUUUGAAUUGAAAUUGAAAUACAUAGUGUGAACACAUAGUGUGAACGCAUAGUGUGAACACACAAUAGUUAUUAUGAUAAUAAAAGUGAAAUGCGGGCCCAGACAAAAUACUGCGCAUUAGCCAUAGUUGUGCCAUAAGUUAUUCAGUUGUCCCGUACUCAAUUUAUUUGUACUUUGUGGAAGUUUUAGUAUUUAGAGUUGGACUUCAUUAAGGGAAUUAACUUUUAGUUGGACAGAUGAUAUAAUAUGUUUAAUAAUAAGAUAUCAUGUUUUAGUUAUAUAAUUUUCCAAAUAUAUGCGUUUUGUCAUGUUUAUGUCAAGAUGGUCCAACAUGAUACAAUGCAUACCAUAUAAUGUAAGAAGUGUUUUUUGAAUUGAUGAGUAUAAUAUGUUCAAUUGUGUUUUAGAUUGUAUGAUAAUUAGUAUAAGUGAUUAAUAAAUGUUCAAGAACAAUGUAUAAUUAUGAGAAAAAUUAAAAAAUUACCUCCUUUUUAAUAAUAUUAUAUUUUUGUAGAUAAAAUAAAUAAACUGUAUUUGUCUCAUAAAUAGUAAA
rnacentral:sRNA from 1 species